rnacentral:tRNA from 1 species
CCUCCUUUCUGGAAAUAUGCAAUCAAAUUCUUACGCCCAUUCUUAUCGGCUGUUGUCUUAAGCAACAGCAUUGGUCAUCAAUCUAAUUGGUGCUGCCUUCAGGUUCUUUAGUGAAUUCAGAGGGUCUGUAGCUCAGCUGGUUAGAGCACCGUCUUGAUAAGGCGGGGGUCGUUGGUUCGAGUCCAACCAGACCCACCAAAUCAGGUUUGAAGCGGUAUUGAAUCCUGGGGGAUUAGCUCAGCUGGGAGAGCACCUGCUUUGCAAGCAGGGGGUCGUCGGUUCGAUCCCGUCAUCCUCCACCAAAAACUUAUCUAGCGUACUUGGUUAAUGCAAAGCAUCUUCUUUGAGGAUGUUUUGUGUUAAUUGAUUCAUUUCAAUUAUUGGCUGUUCUUUAAAAAUUCAUAGAGUUAAAUCAGCGUUGCUAGCGGAAACUGCACAUUCGUAAAGGUUUAGUGCAAACCGUGCCGCUAGCGACAUUUAAUAAGAUUUUUGAUUGCGUCAAAAUGGGACUUCAAACUUCACGUUUUGAAAAUUACCGGCAUAACGCGGUUUUGGGUGAAAAGACCAAAAACACAUUUCCUUUGAAGAUCGUCUUUUGAAAAAAUCAAAGUUAUAGGGUCAAGUUGAAAUAAAAAACAAC